rnacentral:rRNA from 1 species
AAAAACAUGUCUUUUUGGUUAUUUAAUAUAAAGUCUGACCUGCCCACUGAAUUUAAUUUUUGAAGGGCCGCAGUAUUUUGACUGUGCAAAGGUAGCAUAAUCAUUAGUCUUUUAAUUGAAGGCUGGUAUGAAUGGUUGGAUGAGGUACAAGCUGUGUCAUAAAAAUUAAUGAUUGAAUUUAACUUUUUAGUCAAAAGGCUAAAAUUUAAUUAAAAGACGAGAAGACCCUAUAGAGCUUUAUAUAAUGAUUAUUUAAUUUAUUAAGAUUUAUUAAAUUUAAUUAUUUUAUUAUAUUUUGUUGGGGUGACAAUAAAAUUUAUAAAACUUUUAUUAUUAUUUUACAUUUAUUUAUGAUUCUAUGAUCCAGUUUUAUUGAUUAUAAAUUUAAGUUACCUUAGGGAUAACAGCGUAAUUUUUUUUGAGAGUUCAUAUCGACAAAAAAGAUUGCGACCUCGAUGUUGGAUUAAGAGUAAUUUUGGGUGUAGAAGU